GACGAACGCUGGCGGCGUGCUUAACACAUGCAAGUCGAACGGUACUUAACCGGUAGUAAUAUUGGUUAAGUAUAGUGGCGGACGGGUGAGUAACGCGUGAGCGACCUACCUUAAAGAGGGGGACAACAUUCGGAAACGGAUGCUAAUACCGCAUAAGACCACAGGGACGCAUGUUCCAGGGGUCAAAGGAGAAAUCCGCUUUAAGAUGGGCUCGCGUCCCAUUAGCUAGUUGGUGAGGUAACGGCUCACCAAGGCGACGAUGGGUAGCCGACCUGAGAGGGUGAUCGGCCACACUGGAACUGAGACACGGUCCAGACUCCUACGGGAGGCAGCAGUGGGGAAUAUUGGGCAAUGGGCGAAAGCCUGACCCAGCAACGCCGCGUGAUUGAAGAAGGCCUUCGGGUUGUAAAGAUCUGUCCUAUGGGACGAAAAAAAUGACGGUACCAUAGGAGGAAGCUCCGGCUAACUACGUG
rnacentral:rRNA from 1 species